rnacentral:ncRNA from 2 species
CUCGCGCAUGACAGGUGUUCGGCCGUCGAUCUGAACCUUCAGAGAGACGGUCGUUCUGAGAUUAUACUGUCAUAACUUGAUCUAGAUAAUACUAGCGAAAGGACAUGCGUGGCAUUGACU